rnacentral:rRNA from 1 species
CCCUUAGAUGUUCUGGGCCGCACGCGCGCUACACUGAUGCAUUCAACGAGUUUCUUCCUGGUCCGAGAGGAAUGGGUAACCUUUUGAAAGUGCAUCGUGAUAGGGAUAGACUAUUGCAAUUAUUGGUCUUCAACGAGGAAUUCCUAGUCGACGUAGUUCAUCAGACUGCAUCGAUUACGUCCCUGCCCUUUGUACACACCGCCCGUCGCUCCUACCGAUUGAAUGCUCAGGUGAGCCAUUCGGACUUUCAUCAUGCUGGUUUCCAGUUUUGAUGAAGGAAAGUCUUGCGAACCUUAUCAUUUAGAGGAAGGAGAAGUCGUAACA